CUUUACUGUAGCUUUGUAUUGGACUUUGAACAGAUCUGUGUAGGAUAGGUGGGAGGCUUUGAAGCGUGGUCGCUAGAUUGCGUGGAGCCAACGUUGAAAUACCACCCUGGUGUGUUUGAGGUUCUAACCUAGGCCCGUAAUCCGGGUCGGGGACAGUGCAUGGUAGGCAGUUUGACUGGGGCGGUCUCCUCCCAAAGUGUAACGGAGGAGUUCGAAGGUACGCUAGGUACGGUCGGACAUCGUGCUAAUAGUGCAAUGGCAUAAGCGUGCUUAACUGCGAGACUGACAAGUCGAGCAGAUGCGAAAGCAGGACAUAGUGAUCCGGUGGUUCUGUAUGGAAGGGCCAUCGCUCAACGGAUAAAAGGUA
rnacentral:rRNA from 1 species